AUUGAACGCUGGCGGCAGGCUUAACACAUGCAAGUCGAGCGAGCGGCGGACGGGUGAACACUGUCUGGGAAACUGCCUGAUGGAGGGAGAUCACUACUGGAAACGGUAGCUAAUACCGCAUAACAUCAGAUGUGCCCAGGUGGGAUUAGCUAGUAGGUGGGGUAAUGGCUCACCUAGGCGAAGCUCCCUAGCUGGUCUGAGAGGAUGACCAGCCACCCUGGAACUGAGACACGGGCCAGACUCCUACGGGAGGCAGCAGUGGGGAAUAUUGCACAAUGGGCGAAAGCCUGAUGCAGCCAUGCCGCGUGUGUGAAGAAGGCCUUCGGGUUGUAAAGCACUUUCAGCGGGGAGGCGUUACCCACAGAAGAAGCACCGGCUAACUCCGUGCCAGCAGCCGCGGUAAUUC
rnacentral:rRNA from 1 species